rnacentral:rRNA from 1 species
GCGCGAAAACUUUACAAUGCCGGCAACAGCGAUAAGGGAACCUCGAGUGCCAGGUUACAAAUCUGGCUGUCGAGAUGCCUAAAAAGCAUUUCAUAGCAAGGGCCGGGCAAGACCGGUGCCAGCCGCCGCGGUAACACCGGCGGCUCGAGUGGUAACCGUUAUUAUUGGGUCUAAAGGGUCUGUAGCCGGCCGGAUAAGUCUCUUGAGAAAUCUGGCAGCUUAACUGUCAGGCUUUCAGGAGAUACUGUCUGGCUCGAGGCCGGGAGAGGUGAGAGGUACUUCAGGGGUAGGGGUGAAAUCUUGUAAUCCUUGAAGGACCACCAGUGGCGAAGGCGUCUCACCAGAACGGACCUGACGACAAGGGACGAAAGCUAGGGGCACGAACC